rnacentral:misc_RNA from 1 species
AACGGUCUAUACCUGCGGUACCUGCGGAAGGAUCAUUACUGAAGUGAUUUGGGGAUGUUGCUGGCCUCUCAAGGGGGGCACUGUGCACUCCUCGAAACAAUUCACGAUUUCCAUCACACCCCUUGUGCACACCUUGUAGGCACCCAAACCGCCACCUCCGGGUGGCGGGGUCCUAUGUAUUCCUUCAUUUCACACUUUGUCAUUGGGACGCAUCUAAAGGAUUAUUUGUAAAAAAGUAAU